AGUAGUCAUAUGCUUGUCUCAAAGAUUAAGCCAUGCAUGUCUCAGUGCAAGCCACAUUAAGGUGAAACCGCGAAUGGCUCAUUAAAUCAGUUAUGGUUCCUUGGAUCCUACCAAUCCUACUUGGAUAACUGUGGUAAUUCUAGAGCUAAUACAUGCACCCAGAGCUCCGUCCAGAAAUGGCCGGGGCGCAGUUAUUAGAUCAAAACCAAUCGGUCGGGUUCGCCCGUCCGUCGUUUUGGUGACUCUGAAUAACCACCGCUGAUCGCACGGCCUCGCGCCGGCGACGUAUCCUUCGAAUGUCUGCCUUAUCAACUGUCGAUGGUAGGUUCUGCGCCUACCAUGGUUGUAACGGGUAACGGGGAAUCAGGGUUCGAUUCCGGAGAGGGAGCCUGAGAAACGGCUACCACAUCCAAGGAAGGCAGCAGGCGCGCAAAUUACCCACUCCCGGCACGGGGAGGUAGUGACGAAAAAUAACGAUACGGGACUCAUCCGAGGCCCCGUAAUCGGAAUGAGAACACUUUAAAUCUUUUAACGAGUACCUAAUGGAGGGCAAGUCUGGUGCCAGCAGCCGCGGUAAUUCCAGCUCCAUUGGCGUAUAUUAAAGUUGUUGCGGUUAAAAAGCUCGUAGUUGGAUCUGUGUAUCG
rnacentral:rRNA from 1 species